CCUACGGGUGGCAGCAGUGAGGAAUAUUGGUCAAUGGACGAGAGUCUGAACCAGCCAAGUAGCGUGAAGGAUGACUGCCCUAUGGGUUGUAAACUUCUUUUAUAUGGGAAUAAAAUGUUCCACGUGUGGGAUUUUGUAUGUACCAUAUGAAUAAGGAUCGGCUAACUCCGUGCCAGCAGCCGCGGUAAUACGGAGGAUCCGAGCGUUAUCCGGAUUUAUUGGGUUUAAAGGGAGCGUAGGUGGAUUGUUAAGUCAGUUGUGAAAGUUUGCGGCUCAACCGUAAAAUUCCAGUUGAACCUGGCAGUCGUGAGUACAGUAGAGGUGGGCGGAAGUCGUGGUGUAGCGGUGAAAUGCUUAGAUAUCACGAAGAACUCCGAUUGCGAAGGCAGCUCACUGGACUGCAACUGACACUGAGGCUCGAAAGUGUGGGUAUCAAACAGGAUUAGAUACCCUUGUAGUC
rnacentral:rRNA from 1 species